GGACCUGUAGCUCAGUUGGUUAGAGUAUCUGGUUUACACCCAGAGGGUCGUGGGUUCGAGUCCCGCCGGGUCCACCA
rnacentral:tRNA from 3 species